ACGCUCGACACCUACGGGGGCAGCAGUUGGGAAUAUUGGACAAUGGAGGAAACUCUGAUCCAGUGACGCCGCGUGAAGGAAGAGGGUCUUCGGAUUGUAAACUUAUUUUGUCAGGGAAGAAAAAUGACUGUACCUGAAGAAAAAGCACCGGCUAACUACGUGCCAGCAGCUGCGGUAAUCUGAGCGGGCUGGCAAGGC
rnacentral:rRNA from 1 species